CCUACGGGAGGCAGCAGUGAGGAAUAUUGGUCAAUGGACGGAAGUCUGAACCAGCCAUGCCGCGUGCAGGAAGACGGCUCUAUGAGUUGUAAACUGCUUUUGUACAAGGGUAAACCUGAAUACGUGUAUUCAGCUGAAAGUACUGUACGAAUAAGGAUCGGCUAACUCCGUGCCAGCAGCCGCGGUAAUACGGAGGAUCCAAGCGUUAUCCGGAUUUAUUGGGGUUAAAGGGUGCGUAGGCGGAUUGAUAAGUUAGAGGUGAAAUGUCCGAGCUUAACUCGGGAACUGCCGCUAAUACUGUUGAUCUAGAGAGUAGAUGCGGUAGGCGGAAUGUAUGGUGGAGCGGUUAAAUGCUUAGAGAUCAUACAGAACACCGAUUGCGAAGGCAGCUUACCAAUCUAUAUCUGACGUUGAGGCACGAAAGCGUGGGGAGCAAACAGGAUUAGAUACCCGAGUAGUC
rnacentral:rRNA from 1 species